AUGUGUGCUGUGUACAAUUAAUGAACAUAAAAACCAUGACAUUGUUUCAGCUGCAGACCAGAGGACAGAGAAGCAGAAGCAGCUGAAGGAGACACAGAAGACGUUCCAGCAGAGCAUCCAGCAGAGAGAGAAAGAUCUUCAGCAGCUGAGAGAGGCUGUGGAGUCUCAUAAGCGCUCUGCACAGACAGCAGUGGAGGACAGUGAGAGGAUCUUUACUGAGCUCAUCCGCUCCAUUGAGAGACGGCGCUCUGAGCUGAUACGGCUGAUCAGAGAUCAGGAGAAGACUGCAGUGAGUCGAGCUGAAGGACGACUGGAGCGACUGGA